GGGUCAGUAGGUUGGUCGUGCCUCCGGUACGUACUGGUCUCACUGAUUCCUCCUUCCUGAAGAACCGUAAUGCCAUUAAUUUGGUGUUGCGGGGAAACAGGACUGUUACUUUGAAUAAAUUAGAGUGUUUAAAGCAAGCUAACGCUUGAAUACAUUAGCAUGGAAUAAUGAAAUAGGACGAUCGAUCCUAUUUUGUUGGUUUCUAGGAUUGACGUA
rnacentral:rRNA from 1 species